AAGCUUUAGCUUUUAAUCAUCUUUCUUUGAGAGCUUUUUUUAGUAAUAUUAUGAAAACAUUGUUUUAGACCACAUUAAUAUCGAAUUGAUACUGCCACUCUUUACCUCUGUUUGCUAAUAUUGAUUAUCCAAACUUAAUGUCACUGAAUUGUUGCUUUAAAUUGCAUAAUAAGCACAUAGAAAAAAAGUCCUUUUGAAAUUAUGUUUAAAAAAAGAAAAUUAGCCAUUCCAUUAUAAGUGCAAUGAAUUAUUUAUGUGUUUUUCAUUUUUGUUAAAAGGCUAAUUUAGCGCCACAUUUUUUUUUUAACUUUUUGAUGUUAGAUAUCCUAGUAAGACAAGGAUUUGUAGUUCGUUAUGUUAAUUAUAAUGUUUACUAAGUCUGCUUUAGCAUGGGCUUCGUUAAAACACUACGAGAACGAUAUGUAUUUCAAGUUGCUAACAACUAACUGGAAAUAAAAUUUGUGCAUCAGACAAAAAA